rnacentral:rRNA from 1 species
UACGUAGGGUGCAAGCGUAAUCGGAAUUACUGGGCGUAAAGCGUGCGCAGGCGGUUAUGCAAGACAGAUGUGAAAUCCCCGGGCUCAACCUGGGAACUGCAUUUGUGACUGCAUAGCUAGAGUACGGUAGAGGGGGAUGGAAUUCCGCGUGUAGCAGUGAAAUGCGAUAGAUAUGGCGGAGGAACACCGAUGGCGAAGGCAAUCCCCUGGGCCUGCACUGACGCUCAUGCACGAAAGCGUGGGGAGCAAACAGG